rnacentral:lncRNA from 1 species
AUGAUUUAUCAUGAGCUGGUGCUCAUAGGAAGAAACACUCUCCUCGUGAGAGGAAGGGCCCUGUCCUUUCCUUACCCCAGAGCCCACACCUCAAAGGCCUGCCCUGGGAAUUUCUCUUUAACCUUUAGAGAACCAUGCUGCUCAUCUGGGUCUUGUGUUGAUCCAGGGUUGCCCACAUCACAAGAAAUUCUUUACUUCUCUGUUGAGUGUGUCAUGAUCAGUAUAAUUGUAGGUGUGUAGGGUACACACUUAUGUGAUGGUGCAAAAUGUGUCAGCAUGUUGGGUCUGCACUGAACAUGGGGCUUCCCUGGCAUAUUCAGCCUAUGACAUGGAUUAUCUGGACCUGGAAAUGAAACACCUUCUGGUCAGAAAAGAAGAGGAUUGAAUAGAUUGAGGCAAAGCACCUGAUUGUACAAGAUGUGAAGAAAUGGUGGAAUAUGCCCCGCCCCUGGGGAGAACAUGUCAUGUGGGGUGGGUUUUCCUGGUUGCCUGCAGUAAGUGUUGAAUUAUAGGAAACUGUACCCUUCGUGUAGAGAAGAAUGGUCCUGAGCCUGCAGAUUGAACACCCCCCCAUCCCUCUGUGCUAACGUUAGCCUUAAUUAUACUUAUCAAGAGGCCAAUACUGUAAUCCCUGUCCCUCAUGGAACCCUAUGGGUAUGUGGGCUGUAUGGGUACCUGCCCAGGAAUUGGACUGGACAGUACACUUAAGGCCAGCGGUACCUGCCUGCCUCAGUAUGUGUGACCCUCCCACAACAACCCGCUAACUGGAAUACAGUCUGUGCAUGGUACUGAGUGAAAUGGACCCUCUGCUGGUACUAUCCACUAGCCUUGUUUUGGCCCCAGGGAGCAGCUAUAGUCACUGAAAUACAAGUGACUGCACUUGGCUCGCAUACUGCCCUUGCUUUGAAUUACACGCANNNNNNNNNNNNNNUAACUCUGCUGGAUGAAGAAGUUUACCAAAUGAGGAUCACAGUCUUACAGAACUGAAUGGCCCUAGAUUUAUUAACUGCUACAGGGUGGAAGGUGCGUAUUUCUAGGUACAGAAUGUUGUGCAUAUAUCCAGAUAAUCGUAAAAAUAUGACAACAGCAUUAGAGCACAUGACAGGAAAUUCAUAAGAUACAGUGUCUUCCUGGAGACCCAUUACAAGAAUGGUGGGCCAAUCUGUCCUGUACCUGGGGCUGGGUUUUGCUGUGUAUUAGGGGUGUAGCUUGCACCCUAGUAUUUUGUUGCUGAAGCCUCUACUGCUGAAGAGGAAUGUGGGUUCAUGGGAUUCCUUUAGUCACUAAAACAAUGCCACAGAAGACGGAAAUUGCGUAGUCUGUGGGGCGAAAGCCUCUGAAGAACUAGUCAUUGGCUAAGACGGUGAUGGUCAGGCUCUCUCUCCCCACUUCCUGUAAACAAUGACUUUGCAUGGUUAUAUAACAACUGAGCUCAUCUAUAGCAAUGCACACACAUAUCAGUAUGUAAUAGCUUGGGAAACUGCCACCUUUGUUCAUGAAUACCUAUAUAAGUCUGCCUGGAAAAUCUCUGGCUGCAGUGC